rnacentral:misc_RNA from 1 species
AAACAGAUCACAACAUGUGGACUGAAUGAAUGGACUGUCAGUCUUUAAAACCUGAUACAGGACAGUGUGAUCAUCAUUCUAUCAUUGGACUUUAUCGAAACUCAAGAGCAAAGUUCCCAAAAUGUGUAAGAAGAAUGAAUAUUACGACAUUGACACUACCGAAUGUCUGCCCUGUUCAGAAUGUCCAAAGGGGGACAAGAUUCUCUUGGAGUGUUCUUAUUUUGGAGACACGUUGUGCGAAAAAGAUGUAUUAGCCGGAUUUCAAAUCGCGCCCUACCCCACUCCCGGUACCCCCUCGCCUGUGACCCGGGGGGCGGGGACCGUGGCCGUGGAGGUGCUACCUGAGGACUGGACCACCAGUCCCACCGUGCUCAUGGUGGUCACUGCUGUCUGUUUCACCACCCUAAUGGUCACAAUCGUCAUAGCAUUGUACUGUUUCAGACGGAAAGUAUGGAGCCCCAAGCAGGAAAAGGAAAUAUUAUGCCUCAGUAGACGUAAGUUUCUUUUUAUAUUUUAUAUAUUGAUAUGCUUUUAAAAUAUAUUAUAUUCCUUUGACUUGACAUCAAUAGGAAAAUGACGAGAUGGACAUUUAAUCAUUGUGUUGAAGAAUUUUGUACAAAAGCGUUACACUUAAAUUUAUGUAUUUUCUUGUCUUCAUUAUACAUGUUUAUCUAGCAAGAAUGUAGGGAACUUAAGCUGAUCAAAGUCUCAUAUAUUUGUCCAUUGUCACUGUUUACUUCAACAUUCUAAAAAGUUUGUACUAAAGAAUGAAAAAAGACCUAGAAACAAAACACAGGGGGUAUCUCUAACACCCAAUAAAAUGUUUGGUUAAUCAAGGCAGCUGAUGGAGAAAGUGAUAAGCAUUUUUCUCUGAAAUAAAACCUCUCUCUUACACGGAUCACGACGCGCAAAUUACGUUGCAUGCGUGAUUUUCGCAGACGGUUACCCGCAUAACAAAAAGUGAAAUUUUACGAAUGAUUGCAAAGAUAUUAAAUUUCUAACCUUUUCCCCUGAGACAAAUGUUUUAUCUGAUGAGUGAGGCCUACCAUUUUGCGCCCUGGGUUAUUUGCAAGUCCAUUUCAUUUAAUGUGGGAUCCCACAAAAUUAACGUUCCAAAGACUUAACGAGUAUUGUCUUAACAAAUAUAUCACUGCACUUUUUCUGCUAAAUCUGUUGAAAAUCUUGUAAUUAACAACUCAACUUUUUUGCUAUGGCAAUGAAGGAAUUCAACAGACCAUAAACCCUCUUUUUCUUUUCCCAGCGUUUUAUCCUAUCAACACAAUGUGUGUGAAUUCAUUAUCACAUAGACAUGCCAAGUAACAUAUCUGUUGUUACAACAGUACGUGAUAAAGUUAGUACCUAUUAGUACUCGAGAUGGCUGACGCCGGGCCAGUAUUGUUCAAUAAAGUGCCACAUUCUUUUCUUGUCACUUUGCGACUUAAAUCUAAUAAGUCUAUAACAACUCAAUUCUGUCAGUUAUUUUUCCUUGUUUAGAUUACGUGUCUCCAUUAUAAUGUAAUCUUUCGAUAUUUUUAUAAGCUUCAAAGUGCUUGUCAAGCAAAAAUUGGACUAGAUCUAAGUAUUAUUCAUUCAUUACCCGUAAACAUUCAAUUAGAUUUUAGACUCGGUUCCCUCACUUCUAAAUCCUACCCGGUGGUACAUUGGUACCAGGACUGCUAUCAAUAUAAAUACAUUAGGAUCUACAUUAAAAACCCAUUUUCAAAGCCAAUAGUUGACAACCGUAUACCUAUAAAUUAUAGAAUUUUUCUCUACAUACACAUAUAUCCUUGAAUUAGAUAAGAAUGUAAAAAGCCUUUUUCUUUUGUAUACAAUAAUAAAAGAUAUACCUGGAAGCGUACAAAUAUUUUCAUUUCUUAAAUAUUCUUAAGUGCAUUUGGCGGAAAAUAUAUACAUCAUGAAUUCUUCCUCCACAUUGCUAUUUCCAUUUCACUGCGGGGUACAGUGGAUAAAAAAAUAGGUGCUCGAGACUGAAUGAAAAGAUUUGAAUGAAAGACCGCACAGACCCACCAUAUAGAUAAUUCCAUCUAUCUUAAGACAUUGUCAUUGCAUUAAGAGCCCAUUCUAUCAUCUCAACUAUACUUAUUUCACAAUUAUACCCCAAAAAUGACAGCAGGGUGUCACUUGAAAUUGUCCCUAGUACAAAGCUAAGUGCCUGUUACGCUACACUAAAGGCCGUUAGCGUUCAGAAUUUCACCACCUAGAUGUUCAGCUAUUUUCGCAAGUUGUCAUUGGGGUUCAACAAUUCGCUUACACGGCGAAUUUCGACAAGAAUUUAACAUGUUUAACAAGAAACAACAAAUCUUACAAAAAUGUCUCUUUUGAUUUUUAAGAUACGCCAAACUUAAAAAGAAAACCUUUAAAGAAAAUUUAAUUUAUUUGUUUCUCUCUUUACAGCCCACCCUAGACAUUAUCCUACUGUUGGGGAGGAGGAGAGAUAUCAACCCCUACCCUCGCGGGACCGGCUAAAGAAGACCAACUACUUCAGCAGCAGUAUAUACGCCAAUGACUCUAUGUUCAAUAUGCCUAAUACUCACAUCUAUGUUAAUAUGAUGGACUAUGUUGACAGUGAUUGCUGCAGUAAUGACUAUGUAGACAUUGAUGAACAUUUAGAAUCCUGAGAGCAGCGAUUCAGAUCGGUUUACUGUGCUAACUGUGAUAUUUGGGAAGUCCUCAAUGCCAAGUACUAACUGGUAUACUCGGUGAAAAAAUCCUAGAAUUCUGUCAAAUGAACAAUGAAAUCAGUUGUGAGAAUUACUGAUAAACUGCUAUAAACAACCAAAGUCAACCGACAGCGAAUAUAUAUUAAACGACAAUCUGUCAUGACUAUAGAUAACUGUCAUAGUGCGAAAAGUUAGUUGGCUGAUUAUAAAUCAACUAACACUUGCAAUUAUAAGUGCAGCUGACAAAGGUCAAUUAACAGUAAAUUGAUUAACUGACAAGUUGGCAGCGACCAGUUCAACUGACCAGUGGCUAAGCAGCAAGAGUUGAGCAGUAAUGAACUGCCAAUAUAGUUGCAGCGCUUGCCUUUCAUACUCUACACUUUACGGAAGAGUUUCUGAUUUUCCGGGUGGAUUUUAUCCCAAACAAAUUCUAGUCAAAGAAUUAAGUUUCUUCACUUUGUUGUACAUGUAACAUCAAUGUGUUGUACUCUUGGAAAAUAUGUAUGUUGUAUUUAUUAUUAAUUUAUUUAUUUUUUUCAUUAAACCAGAUGUUUUUAAACUUG